GAUGAACGCUGGCGGCGUGCUUAACAUAUGCAAGUCGAACGAGAAGUGAAGACGGAAACCUUCGGGCGGAAGGCUUUAUUUCGAGUGGCGGACGGGUGAGUAACGCGUGGGUAACCUGCCUCAUACAGGGGGAUAACAGUUGGAAACGACUGUUAAUACCGCAUAAGACCACAGCACCGCAUGGUGCGGGGGUAAAAACUCCGGUGGUAUGAGAUGGACCCGCGUUCGAUUAGCCAGUUGGCGGGGUAACGGCCCACCAAAGCGACGAUCGAUAGCCGAUCUGAGAGGAUGACCGGCCACAUUGGGACUGAGACACGGCCCAAACUCCUACGGGAGGCAGCAGUGGGGAAUAUUGCACAAUGGGGGAAACCCUGAUGCAGCGACGCCGCGUGAGUGAAGAAGUAUUUCGGUAUGUAAAGCUCUAUCAGCAGGGAAGAAAAUGACGGUACCUGAGUAAGAAGCCCCGGCUAACUACGUG
rnacentral:rRNA from 1 species